CUGGUUCAGGAGUUGGAGAAGCUGGAGGAGGACCCAGGGGAGCGGUAAGGAGUUGCAGGCUUAGUUGCUGUUUCAUGCCAAUGAGAAGUGAUAAGGGUGAAGCUGACCUUAACAACAAUGAAGUGGUGAGCAGGACAGAUUAGAAGGCCUAACUCAGGAGCCCAGAAUGCCAGACAUGAGCAGAGACAGACAGCAUGCCAGGACCUAAGUACCACAGAGCCAAACUGCCCAACUGAUCACAGACAAGAGGGGAGGAAGUUGCCACUUUCUGCUUCUCUUCUACAGUGUGGAGGGAUCGAAAAAUGUCUCCUGAUAGUCAUUGACCAUCAUUGUAACUUCUUAUCAUAGUCCCUUGAGAUUUGGGGAAGAAAUGCGAUAGUGAUGUAUACAUAUAAUCAAGCUGGCUCUACUGAUCAAGUGUUUCUAGAUGCCAGAGCCACAUCAAGUGUCAGAAGAAUCUGUGUGUUGACAUAGUGUUUGGAGGGAACUGAUUACCUAGCGAGUGCUUCCUUCAUCACGUAACCCUGAUACUUGUUAUGAUCAUG
rnacentral:lncRNA from 1 species